UUACACACCGCCCGUCACACCAUGGGAGUUGAUUGCACCAGAAGUAGGUAGCCUAACCGCAAGGGGGGCGCUUACCACGGUGUGGUCAAUGACUGGGGUG
rnacentral:rRNA from 1 species